rnacentral:ncRNA from 2 species
UAAAGACAACAGGGGUGCUAUUUUUAUAAAAAUAAUAGCUGAGAAAAUAACCCUUUGUACCUGAUCUAAUUAGUAUUAGCGUAGGGAGUUUGUUUGAUUAUUUUU